rnacentral:rRNA from 1 species
AGUGAACGCUGGCGGCGUGCUUAACACAUGCAAGUCGAACGAGAACGGAAUAUAGCUUGCUAUAUUUGUCAGCUAAGUGGCGCACGGGUGAGUAAUAUAUAGAUAACCUGCCCUCUAGAAAGGAAUAACAGUUGGAAACGACUGCUAAUGCCCUAUAUGCCUUUAAUACAUAAGUAUGCAAGGGAAACGCUUUAGUGCUAGAGGAUGGGUCUGUAUGGUAUCAGCUUAUUGGUGAGGUAAUGGCUCACCAAGGCUAUGACGCCUAACUGGUUUGAGAGGAUGAUCAGUCACACUGGAACUGAGACACGGUCCAGACUCCUACGGGAGGCAGCAGUGGGGAAUAUUGCACAAUGGACGAAAGUCUGAUGCAGCAACGCCGCGUGGAGGAUGACACAUUUCGGUGCGUAAACUCCUUUUAUAUAGGAAGAUAGUGACGGUACUAUAUGAAUAAGCACCGGCUAACUCCGUGCCAGCAGCCGCCGCAGUAA